AAAUAGAAAGGAGUUAAAUGAAAUAAGUUUAAAGAUAAUCCUUAUAUUCUACUGGUGGGACGUUAGUAGGAUUUCCUUCGGUAUCAGCUUUGAGUUCUGUUUGUUUUCGAGUCAGGCUUAUAGCUUGAUAGCAGGUCACUUUUGUUGGACCUUCAGAACCUGCUCUUUUAGUUGUAAAUUUGUACAUUUUUCUUUAUGUCUAGUUAGUGCUCCAAAACUAUGAAUUUAUAUAAAAUCUUGUAUUA